rnacentral:rRNA from 1 species
CGUUAUAGUGGAGCAGAUGGAGCCGACGUAUCCAGCACGUAUUUAGCCAUUGCCGUGUAUGAUUCGCCCGUUUUGAAGUUCUGUCAAGGUGUUCGGCGGGCGAUUGUUGUACGAUGGCGGUGGUGCAUUUGCGUGUAGAGUGCGCCGAAUCAGUGGGGUUUGCUGCUCGAAGUUUGGUUUUGAGAGGAUCAAUCCUAUGCGGUUGAAAACCUCGACGAACGGGCGGCGGACGAACCCGACUGCCAUGCAAAAGGUUCAUUGAUUAUGAGGCGGCUGAGCGGGCGGCAUCGUUGUUCGAAUGGGACGCAUGCGUCACUUUGAAUGGGAAGUCGCUUGUGCGGUAGUUUCUCAGUGGACAUUCGGUGUGUAGUCGGUGACCUAUUUGACCCGUCUUGAAACACGGACCAAGGAGUUUAAGGUGUGCGCGAGUGAUUGAGUGGCGAAAACUUAAAAGCGUAAUGAAAGUGGGACACUUGGUGUCUGUGAUGCGACCUGUGAGGGUGUUUUACAUUUGUUCAGGGCAGCAUCGACCCAUGACUAGGAACAUGUUCUGUUGUGGAGUCUGAGCGCACGCUUUGAGACCCGAAAGAUGGUGAACUAUGCCCGAACAGGACGAAGUCAGAGGAAACUCUGAUGGAAGUCCGAAGCGGUUCUGACGUGCAAAUCGAUCGUCUGAUUUGGGUAUAGGGCGCAGA